CUCAUCAUGAAGUCUCAUGAGUAUCUCCCAUGUGCUAUCUGGCCUGUUCUCAGUGCGUCCCCAAGCCUAGCUGGGGCUGGACAAACCUGAAACCCUCCCUCAGCACCCCUAAAUGUUUGCCUUUCAUCUCUGUAAGGAUAGAGAAAGUACCUUGGUGACAGAGCCCUGUGUGGGCUGCUCAGCUGAGCCGGCUGGGAGUUGGCCCAGAGCCAUGGAGUGUGAGAAACUUUCAAAUUUCAAAACCGCCCUGGGCCAAUUUAAUAAACUUCUGCCACCUCCAUCCUCUCCACAGUUUUGAAUUCUCAAAUAUUCACACCCCCCCCCAUCUAAGAUGUGCACAGGAAUGGAAGGAUUUUGGAAUGUUAAUAAUGCAGAAUUUUACAGCAUAGCAAGGUGAAUUCUCAAGGGGUAAUGGUUAACAUCUGCUUUCUCUCUUUCCAAGAUAACAAUGAAGAAACCAAUCCACACAGCAAGCAGGAGUGCGAGAGAUGAGCCACCAGUCCCUCUGAAAAGGGGGGGUCUGAAAGAUGGCAAGAAACUAUCUACUUCCUCCCAGUGGGACAAUUCUUAGCAACCAACAUCAGAGCUGUGGUCCUGACACGUCCUCUGGGAACAGCAAGAUGCGUUGCAUCAGAAGGCAACAAAGCUGGAGCUCCCUGCUCUGUUCUAGAUAUGGGCUCUGGAGCACCCUGGGCUCUGAGCACGCUCUCUUUGCAGGUUCCUGUCUCCCACUGUUACAAGUGACCUUUUCCAGCCCCAGACACAUAUGAACCUAGGUCAAGUUCUAAGGACCACAAUGCUGAUCUAGUGGGUAUGGGGGUUGCUGAGAACACAGAGUAGCUGGAAUGUAGCCAGAGAAAUGAAUUGGUGGUUAAGAGCACCCAAGCUGGGAUCCCGGAACCCACAUCUGGCAGCUUACAACCUCCUGUAUAGCUGGAGUUUCUUUCUGGCCUGGUCCCACAGCCACUUUGCCCCAAAUAAGCACUCAGAUGCUAUAUUAAUUAUAAAACUGUUGGCCAAUGGCUAGGGCUUCUUACUGGCUAGCUAUCUCUUAAUUAUUAUCCCUUAACUACUAAUCUAUGUAUUUCUACAUGGCCUUAUCUUACCAGAGAACGCCUGGUGCGUCCUAUAUUCCCGGUCUCUGCAUGACUUCUCUUGCGGUCUCUCUCUCUCUGCCUUCCCUUUCCCAUCAUCUCCUUGUUCCACCUAUCUUCCUGCCUCUACUGGCCAAACAGUGUUUUAUUCAUCAACCAAUAAGAGAAAUAUAUAUAUAUAU
rnacentral:lncRNA from 1 species